rnacentral:rRNA from 1 species
UACGUAGGGGGCUAGCGUUGUCCGGAUUUAUUGGGCGUAAAGAGCGCGUAGGCGGUCCGGUAAGUCGGUUGUGAAAGUCGGGGGCUCAACCCUCGGAUGCCGAUCGAUACUGUCGGGCUAGAGUCCGGAAGAGGCGAGUGGAAUUCCUGGUGUAGCGGUGAAAUGCGCAGAUAUCAGGAGGAACACCAAUGGCGAAGGCGGCCCACUGGCUCGAUACUGACGCUGAGGUGCGAAAGCGUGGGGAGCAAACAGG